rnacentral:rRNA from 1 species
CCUUUGGUACGGGAUAACUGAGGGAAACUUCAGCUAAUACCGUAUGUGCCCUACGGGGGAAAGAUUUAUCGCCAUUGGAGCGGCCCGCGUUGGAUUAGGUAGUUGGUGAGGUAAAGGCUCACCAAGCCUACGAUCCAUAGCUGGUCUGAGAGGAUGAUCAGCCACACUGGGACUGAGACACGGCCCAGACUCCUACGGGAGGCAGCAGUAGGGAAUCUUGCGCAAUGGGCGAAAGCCUGACGCAGCCAUGCCGCGUGAAUGAUGAAGGUCUUAGGAUUGUAAAAUUCUUUCACCGGGGAAGAUAAUGACGGUACCCGGAGAAGAAGCCCCGGCUAACUUCGUGCCAGCAGCCGCGGUAAUACGAAGGGGGCUAGCGUUGCUCGGAAUUACUGGGCGUAAAGGGCGCGUAGGCGGACAGUUUAGUCAGAGGUGAAAGCCCAGGGCUCAACCUUGGAAUUGCCUUUGAUACUGGCUGUCUUGAGUUCGGGAGAGGUGAGUGGAAUGCCGAGUGUAGAGGUGAAAUUCGUAGAUAUUCGGCGGAACACCAGUGGCGAAGG